GAUGAACGCUAGCGACAGGCCUAACACAUGCAAGUCGAGGGGCAGCAUGGUUGUAGCAAUAUAACCGAUGGCGACCGGCGCACGGGUGAGUAACACGUAUGCAACCUACCUACUACAGGGGGAUAGCCCGUUGAAAGACGGAUUAAUACCGCAUAAUACAGGGAUUCCGCAUGGAAAUAUUUGUUAAAGAGAUUCGGUAGUAGAUGGGCAUGCGUUUCAUUAGCUAGUUGGUAAGGUAACGGCUUACCAAGGCCACGAUGAAUAGGGGAACUGAGAGGUUUAUCCCCCACACUGGUACUGAGACACGGACCAGACUCCUACGGGAGGCAGCAGUGAGGAAUAUUGGUCAAUGGACGCAAGUCUGAACCAGCCAAGUCGCGUGAAGGAAGACUGCCCUACGGGUUGUAAACUUCUUUUGUACAGGAGUAAAAUUAAGGACGUGUCCUAAACUGCAAGUACUGUACGAAUAAGCAUCGGCUAACUCCGUGCCAGCCGCCGCCGUAACAC
rnacentral:rRNA from 1 species